GCCGGAAUAGCUCAGUUGGUAGAGCAGAGGACUGAAAAUCCUCGU
rnacentral:tRNA from 9 species